CCUACGGGUGGCAGCAGUGAGGAAUAUUGGUCAAUGGGCGGAAGCCUGAACCAGCCAAGUCGCGUGAGGGAGUAAGGCCCUACGGGUCGUAAACCUCUUUUGCCGGGGAGCAGUGCCCAGCUCGUGCGCUGGGAGGGAGCGUACCCGGAGCAAAAGCAUCGGCUAACUCCGUGCCAGCAGCCGCGGUAAUACGGGGGAUGCGCGCGUUCUCCGGAUUGAUGGGGUUUAAAGGGUGCGUAGGCGGGCCUUCAGGCCGGCGGUAAAAUUGCGGGGCGCACCCCCGCCGAGCCGUCGGAACCGGGGGCCUUGAGUACCGGAGAAGUACGCGGAAUGCGUGGUGUAGCGGUGAAAUGCAUAGAUAUCACGCAGAACCCCGAUUGCGAAGGCAGCGUACCGGCCGGUCACUGACGCUGAGGCACGAAAGCGCGGGUAUCGAACAGGAUUAGAUACCCUAGUAGUC
rnacentral:rRNA from 1 species